rnacentral:rRNA from 1 species
UACGGGGGGAGCAAGCGUUGUUCGGAUUUACUGGGCGUAAAGGGCGCGUAGGCGGCGCAACAAGUCACUUGUGAAAUCUCCGGGCUUAACUCGGAAAGGUCAAGUGAUACUGUUGUGCUAGAGUGCGGAAGGGGCAACUGGAAUUCUCGGUGUAGCGGUGAAAUGCGUAGAUAUCGAGAGGAACACCUGCGGCGAAGGCGGGCUGCUGGGCCGACACUGACGCUGAUGCGCGAAAGCCAGGGGAGCGAACGGG